rnacentral:rRNA from 1 species
AUUGAACGCUGGCGGCAGGCCUAACACAUGCAAGUCGAACGAGUGGCGGACGGGUGAGUAAUGUCUGGGAAACUGCCUGAUGGAGGGGGAUAACUACUGGAAACGGGCGCUAAUACCGCAUACUAUCAGAUGAGCCCAGGUCGGAUUAGCUAGUUGGUGGGGUAAAGGCCUACCUAGGCGACGAUCCGUAACUGGUCUGAGAGGAUGAUCAUGCACACUGGAACUGAGAAACGGUCCAGACUCCUACGGGAGGCAGCAGUGGGGAAUAUUGGACAAUGGGCGAAAGCCUGAUCCAGCCAUGCCGCGUGUAUGAAGAAGGCCUUCGGGUUGUAAAGUACUUUCAGCGGGGAGGCGUUACCCGCAGAAGAAGCACCGGCUAACUCCGUGCCAGCAGCCGCGGUAAUUC